CAUAAUGUCAUGUGUCAUGUCAUAGAAACAGCAAUAUGGCUUAUUAAUGUUUUCAUUUUUAUAUAAUUCACGUUUUAAUUGUAUUCUUAAUGCAAAUUAAAAUGACUAGUUUGAUAAAUAAAAUAGAACAAUUAAUUAAAAGGGAAAAAACUACUCCAGAAAGGAAACAAAAGGAUGAUUCAACUAAAUCAUCGAGUGAGAUUUUGUCGGAGCUUUUCGGUGCUUUUAAUGCAGAUCCGCCUAAAAUCGAUGAAGUUACCGUAAAGAAAUCAAAGAAGGGUAAAAAGAAACACAAAAAAGAGAAGAAGAAGCGCAGCCGGAGUAGCAGCAGCAGUAGUGAUUCUGAUGACAGUGAGUAUUCCCAUAAACGUAAAAAACGGAAAAAAAGUAAAAGCAAAAAACGUAAAGACUACGGACGAUCUCCCUCGUAUUCUCCUCGUUCAAGAACUCCUGUGCGAAUUAAACAUGAUCCUGUGACAGUCAAAAGUGAAACCAAACAUGCUAAAAAAUCAGAAGAUAUUAAAGUCAAAGAGGAAAAGAUCAAGACUGAAGUUAAAACUGAGAAAGUUAAAACUGAGCAAGUUAAAACAGAACCAAAAGAAGAACUUAAAAAGCAAGUUCCUAUUAAAACGGAAGAUUCAAACAGCAUUAGUUUUAUUGAUACUAGUUUGAUCCCUAUGCCUGAAUCUCCUAAAGAUCAAAACGAUCUGAGAAACAAAUUGGACACUAAGAAAAAUGAAACAAAUACUGAAAAUGAUAAGUCCAAAGGUAAAAUUCAAAUUAAGAAUUUAAAAUUUAGUACUGUGUUUGAGGAGACUGUAAAGAAAGCAGAAGAAGAGGCAAGAAAAAAAGCAGAGAAAUAUGAAGAAGGGGAAUACACAGAUUCAUCUAGUGAUUCUGUUAAGGAAGUUGGGUCAAACUCACAGUUUCCCAAAUCUUCAGACCCUGGAGGCAUUCUCAAAAAACAAGCUGCAGAAGAAUCUAAAUUAUCUGAAGAAGAAAAAAAUAGCACUAAAAAGAGCAAAACUACAGAGAGUUCCCGCAAAUCUUCUAGAAGAGAUAGCAGUAGAUCUCGGAAAAGAUCUACAAGCAAAUCGAGGAGGUCAAGGUCACGUUCAACAAGGCGGCAUCGUCGUUCAAGUUCGAAAUCGCGGCGGAGAAGUAGAUCCCGACAUCGGUCAAGAUCGCGGAGAAGGUCACACUCUAGAUCCAGAGUGAGGUCCCGUCAUCGAUCGCCCCGACAUAGGAGUAGAAGGUCCAGAUCACCUACUGGAGUAAAAUUAGCAGAUAGUGAGAAGAAACGUCUUCUGGAAGUAGCCAGAAGGAAUGCAAUUAAUAUGCUCAAAAAUGGCGCAGUCCCCGCCGGUGCAGCUGCAUUGCCGCCGCAUACGAGAAAUCAAGUCAUGGCUGCCAUACAAUCUGGUGGUAAAUCUGUUGAUGAGCUAACAGACUUUUGCAAGCAUUUGUCAAAGAAGGAAGCUCUUGGUGAACUGUCUUCAGUGUCCUCAAAUGAUGAUGAUAUGAGUGAAAAUGAGGAUACCCUAGCAUUCCAUCAUCCAUUCCUUGUAAAGGAAAAAGCACCUAUUGUCAUGAAUAUAAGGGGUGGUGCCCCAUUACCUAUCAAAACUACUACACUGCCCGUAGCCAACAAAGAGGAACUCAGACUCCAGUUUCCAGUAUCUUCUGGCUCCCAGCACAGAGAGAAGGCUUCAGAAUGGGUCCCAGUCUCGCCACCUAAGAAAGAUAUGCAAGUUGCAAAGCUAAAUUCGAAGCCAACAAAAACAACAACAACAGCGAUCGCUUCAAACACUGCAGAAACUGCAAAGCCGGGUCCGCUUGCGCUACCAGCUCCGCCCGUACCCGAAACGCCUGCCUAUAUGAAGAGUUUCACAUCGGGAACCCAACUGUCUUCAGUACCCCCUGCGUUACCUGCGCCAGGACCUCAAGCAUACCCACCGGGAAUUGAAAAUUCCAAAAUAGAUGUAGCGUCGAUCGUCUCCCAAAAAAUAGCAAUGAUACGCAAAGAACAAGAGGAAAAUGAACUAUCUAAUACUUGCGGAUUUGGCUGGUCAUCGAAGGAUUCUACCCUGGGUCAGUUCACAGGAUCAACAGGAGCACAAAUCCUUACACCCAGGGAAUUAGCUAGUGGAGUCCAAGCCUGGGCUAAGAAGCUCAAAGUGCCAUCGGUCGGGAUACGCGUACACUGAUGAUCCAGUUUGCGGCCUAUCGGUCAGAACUUAUAAUACUCAAGUAUUAUGCUUUCUGACCUCUUUCAUUGUGAUUGUAGUGUGAUGAUUUCAACAACAAUAAACACUGGUCAAAAUUUAGAAACUUAUUAGUUUUACAAAUUAUUCAUACCUCGAAAAUGAUCUAUGACCAAUAUCACAUACAUUGACUGUACUUUACAUAGUAACCUAUAUAGAUAUGUGCUAGGAUAUAUCAUGAAUUUGAAAAUAAAUUAUGUACUUAUUUAUCUAAAACGAUAUCAUAGAUUAUCCAAUUCUAAACAUGACAAGCAUAUUUUUCCUAACAUUUGAUGUAUUUACAAGUAUUAUUGAAAGUUGCGAUAAUAUUUAUACCUAUUGUCAAGGAUUUGAUAAGAACAUAAACCUGAUAAAGAAAAUUCUCCUUAACGCAUCAGUACAGACUUCCGCCUGAAUGUUUUAUAAUCCAUACAAAAAAGUUACGUAAAAUAAACUAAAAUUAUAUAUUCACAUGUUUUAUAGUUUAUUUCAAUAUAUUUUACAAAUAUCAUGCUUAGUAAAUUGACGUAUUUUCUAAGAAAUAAAUCUAGUUGAUUUAAAGUUAUUUUACUAUUCUGCCAGAAAAUUUAAAUUUAUAUAACGGUGCUAUUCUAUAUGAUUUUUUUAAUCUCUUUGACUCAAUUUAUUCAUAAACAAUUGUUUGUUGUAUACAAAUAUUGUAGUGGACACAAAAUAUAUUUUCUAAAUAUAAAUUAUAUCCACUAAGUCAUAUUUAUUACAGCUACACUUACAUGCUUUUAUGCGCAAUUGUUUUUUUUUUUUUCUCAAAAUAAAUAUGUCACAAAAAAUCCUAUUUAUAAAAUCUUAUAUACAAAGAAACAUCUUAAGGCUUCGUUCACACAACAAACAGGGAAAUAAUUCGUUAAUAAUUACGAAUGUAUGAAUAUGAAUCGUUUUUAUUUUUAUAAUGCUUCUUGUCUUACGAUCGUACACACACUUCGAAUAUUUACGACUUUUUAUCUACAUAUCGAAUUUUCGUUAUAUUCGUCUUUUAACGAAACUAUUAAUAACGAAUCGUCAAAAACCGAUAUGUGUGUGAAAGUGAAGGGAUCCCCUUAAUACAUUGUAGUGUAUUCUAUAAAACAUAAUCGUUCCUUGAUUGUUGUUGUCAUCAUCACUUCUAAGUUCGUAUUCUGUUGGUUCGUGUAAAGAGAGAACUUGUGAAGUUCGCUCGUUACACCAUCAAAUGUUUUAGCAUCAACUGUAAUGAUAAUCCUCGUGCCAUUCCGUAUGGCAUGCCAAUUAUCAUUACCAAACAAAUUUUGCUAACAAAUAUUCAGUUUUCCCCUUACGUUGACUGACUAUAUCAAAGCCCACACUAUCUAUGUAAAUUUAAAAAUAUUUUAUCGAUAUUGUUAUAUCAAGUCACGUAUAUUUUAUCAUAAUACAUUAAUUUACAACUUCCAGAUUUAUUACCUUUUAUAUCUUUAUUAUAUCUAAAUACUUACAUAAUUUAUAUUUAAACAUUAUAUCUACGUUUUCACAUAUAUAAAAUAUUGCACAAGUCAGUCUCAAAUAUUACGUAUUAUUUAAUAGAUAGCCUUGCAAUUCUUUGGGCUUGUCAAUUUACUAUUAUAUCGUCUAAAACAUUCGCGUGUAAUGUAACAUCUAAGAAACAAGCAUAUGACAUCAAUGGAUAUCCUAUGUCGAUUUCCCGUAUCCGCAUUUGUACACGUCUGUCGACUGUUAUCGCGAAUGAAAGGCUCAGCGCUAUAUGGAUUGUACAAUUUAUUACCUAAGUGUAUACGCUGCGCCUUUGUGAAAACAAAAAAAUUAAAGCUAAACGUAUGCAAUGCAAUUUGAAAGGUGAAUCAGAAUCUCAGAAUUUAAGGUGUCAAUCAUUAAAUUUAUUUUUAUUUUGACCCUUAAUUAUUUUUCUUCUACAAUCGGUUAACUGUGAACAGUCAUAAUAUAUACGUACAAAAUCACGCCUUUCUCCCAUUGAGGCAGGCAAAAACUUAAGAAUCAAUGCACCAAUUCAAACAGAUCUCUUUUACUUCUCCCACAUUUAUUAAUCUUAUUUAUAUGUUCUUCAUCAAAGUAGCUGUUGGUGACCUAUUUCAGAGUCAUCUAGCAAACUCUACUGUACUUGUGGUGUUCUACAUUUCAUCUUUGUUUCGACAUACGCUUAGCUUAAAAUGCGCGUACAGAUGCAGAGGCGGUUCUAGCAUGUCCACAAAAAAACUCUAAGAUAUUUAGUAAAAAUUUUUACCAUACUCGUGUAAUGUAACUAUUUAUAUUACAUAAACAUGCUCGCAGUUUAUACGCACCUUUAGUUUCUAAUUCGAAGUAAAAAGAGGCCGGCCUCAAAGGAAAGCAUGGCUACUAUGGGGAAUUCGUGAAUAUUUGUUGCAGCUUUUAAGUGAUAAGGAGAUGCUCGCACCUCGUUACCGCAUGGUCUACAGGUGAUAAGAGCAAUGUUCCCAUGAACGUGAGGAUCAACUAGUCCGCGCAGCCCCAGUCGAAGGUGGAAUGGGUAUGCACCUACUCCAGAAGAUGGGUUGGACUCCAGGCCAGGGUUUGGGCAAAGAAGGCACAGGGACUCUCCAACCAUUGUUAUUAGAGGUCAAACUCGAUACAAGAGGGCUGCAGUCGAAAGAAGAGAUGAAACCUCACCGCCAGGGUCGUAGUAGAGGGGGCCCAGCUCCACUGAUAGCAGGCGGCAAGCACCCGGUGUCGUUACUAGGCGAAUACUGUUCUAAACAGAAACUUGGUCCACCUGAGUAUAACCUUUGCUUUGAAUG